CUAUAGCAGUUUCUCAGUUGUGGUUGUUCUUUCUAUAUAUAAAAUACUACAGAUACAUCGUUCUUUCUAGCUACUCUUCAUGUCCUAUGGGGAAAUAAAUGUUACAUUAAUCUUUUGGUUUAUCGUAUAUUUGAAGUCAAUUUCUGAUAUUUAGCGGGUCGGCUUUACUUGAAUUGAGAAUGCUGAAUAAAUGUGAGUUAGGUGGUUGCAUGAAUAUCACUUUGCUGCUACACCUUUUCCAAAAGUGCAUUCUUUGUUUAAAGCGUGGUCAGUGAGAAGAGAUGAUGUGAUCACUUUUCUUUUUAGGUUUUCAGGUUAUUUUAUUAAUAUCUUAGUAUCAUUCGAAGAGAAUUUAUAAUUUAAUUCAAUAGAAGAAAGCCUGUUUAUUUUAAGUGCCUUGGUUAUCAUCUUUUACUCGUCUAUUAGUUAUCCUUUCAUACGGAACCUCUCUAACCUCUUUGGAGAUCUCAACUUCUACGAGACAUAUGCAUUUCUUUUUUCAGUUUGCAGACAUGAUUGCUGUUAUGGGAUGUUUUCAUUAAGUUAAAUUUGUAAAAGAAGUUUCAAUUUAUUCAUCUUUUAAUUAGAUUUUGUACACCAUGAAGGAAAAGGAAUACACGGUGAAAGUGAAGCUUAUAUAUAGACGACAUUAACUAGAUGAGAUUAGAUAACUU
rnacentral:lncRNA from 1 species